AUGGGACCCUGGCUGAGUAAUUUACUGAUUCUUGCUGCAUGUUGUUAUGAAUGCAGAGGAAAAGACUCAGUCAUUCAGCCACCAGGAGAUGUGAUUGCUACUGAGGGAGAACAGGUCACACUGGACUGUCAAUUUGAUGCAGUUAAUACUAAUAAUCUCUACCUGUUCUGGUACAAGCAUGAAGUAAAUGACUUCCCAAAGUUCAUGUUGGGCCGUUUUCCUUUUGGAAGUAAAAAUGCCACUGAGUUCAAGGAUAGAUUUGAUGCCCGUCUCGAUGCAGACUCCAAGUCAGUCCCAUUGAUGAUCCAGAGUCUGCAGCUGUCUGACUCUGCUGUGUACUACUGUGCUCUGAAGCCCACUCCAAAAGGAGUUGAGACGGCUACUGAAGGAGGACAAAUAACACUUGUCUGUCAUUAUGAAACAGACGACCCAAGUCCAUAUCUAUUCUGGUACAAACAGCGAGCAAACGACUUCCCCAAGUAUAUGCUUAUGCGGUUCAAUUUUGGAACUGGGGACAAUGCUACUGACUUCAAGGAGAGAUUUCAUGCCGAUCUAGAUGCCAACUCCAAAUCAGUCCCCUUGACGAUCCAGAGGUUGCAGCUGUCUGACUCUGCUGUGUACUACUGUGCUUUGAGGCCCACUAAUGCAGAGGAGAAGACUCAGUCAUUCAGCCACCAGGAGAUGUGA